UACGGCGAGUGAAGCGGCAACAGCUCAAAUUUGAAAUCUGGCCUUUUCAGGGUCCGAGUUGUAAUUUGUAGAGGAUGCUUCGGGUACGGCUCCGGUCUAAGUUCCUUGGAACAGGACGUCAUAGAGGGUGAGAAUCCCGUAUGUGACUGGCCGCCACGCCCGUGUGAAGCUCCUUCGACGAGUCGAGUUGUUUGGGAAUGCAGCUCAAAAUGGGUGGUAAAUUUCAUCUAAAGCUAAAUAUUGGCCAGAGACCGAUAGCGCACAAGUAGAGUGAUCGAAAGAUGAAAAGCACUUUGGAAAGAGAGUUAAACAGUACGUGAAAUUGUUGAAAGGGAAGCGCUUGCAAUCAGACUUGCCCGCGGGUGAUCAGCCGGUAUUCUUACCGGUGCACUCGCCCGUGGUCAGGCCAGCAUCGGUUUGGGCGGUUGGAUAAAGUCCCCCGGAACGUAGCUCCCUUCGGGGAGUGUUAUAGCCGGGGGUGCAAUGCAUCCUGCCCGGACCGAGGACCGCGCUUCUGCUAGGAUGCUGGCGUAAUGGUUGUAAGCGACCCGUCUUGAAACACGGACCAAGGAGUCUAACAUCUAUGCGAGUGUUUGGGUGUCAAACCCAUGCGCGUAAUGAAAGUGAACGGAGGUGGGAACCCUUAAGGGUGCACCAUCGACCGAUCCUGACGUCUUCAGAUGGAUUUGAGUAAGAGCAUAGCUGUUGGGACCCGAAAGAUGGUGAACUAUGCCUGAAUAGGGUGAAGCCAGAGGAAACUCUGGUGGAGGCUCGCAGCGGUUCUGACGUGCAAAUCGAUCGUCAAAUUUGGGUAUAGGGGCGAAAGACUAAUCGAACCAUCUGUCUACUAGAUGGCAUAUGGGCCAGGCGAGCCCGAGUAGUCCCCGCGCAAGGGGGCGACAUCGUCGGUCUUCCGGGGACGCCAGUGGGCUACCCGCAGUGGGCCUCCGGGCUCAUUCACAGACUAAGUGGCGGUGGCCGUGCAGGCAGCGCGGUUAGGAUAUAGCCGAUCCCCCCUCGACGGGGG
rnacentral:rRNA from 1 species